rnacentral:rRNA from 1 species
GACGAACGCUGGCGGCGUGCUUAACACAUGCAAGUCGAACGGAAAGGCCCUGCUUUUGCGGGGUGCUCGAGUGGCGAACGGGUGAGUAACACGUGAGUAACCUGCCCUUGACUUUGGGAUAACUUCAGGAAACUGGGGCUAAUACCGGAUAGGAGCUCCUGCUGCAUGGUGGGGGUUGGAAAGUUUCGGCGGUUGGGGAUGGACUCGCGGCUUAUCAGCUUGUUGGUGGGGUAGUGGCUUACCAAGGCUUUGACGGGUAGCCGGCCUGAGAGGGUGACCGGCCACUUUGGGACUGAGAUACGGCCCAGACUCCUACGGGAGGCAGCAGUGGGGAAUAUUGCACAAUGGGCGGAAGCCUGAUGCAGCAACGCCGCGUGCGGGAUGACGGCCUUCGGGUUGUAAACCGCUUUCGCCUGUGACGAAGCGUGAGUGACGGUAAUGGGUAAAGAAGCACCGGCUAACUACGUG